AAGACUGUUGCCAUGCUCACUGCUUCUGUUCUCCUUUCCUAAAGGUUUCCUGGUGUUAGCAGUGGGCCUAAAAACAGUGGUUCUCAAGUUCAGUCCACGUUGAUGGGGACCCUGUGGCUACAGGCUUUUUAUUACCCCAGCCAGUCAUCUCACCAGUAGAGAAAGAAAUCCCAGGGACUACCAGGCAGGACAGAGGCAUAUGAAACGCUGACUAAUCGACAUGAGAUAAAAUGAAGCCUGCUGUUCCUCUCUUCGUUCACUGACUCUUUAUGUGAUGAUGGAGGCCACUGUGCUCAUUGGGACCUUCAAAGC